rnacentral:rRNA from 1 species
UACGUAGGCAGCGAGCGUUGUUCGGAGUUACUGGGCGUAAAGGGUGUGUAGGCGGUUGUUUAAGUUUGGUGUGAAAUCUCCCGGCUCAACUGGGAGGGUGCGCCGAAUACUGAAUGACUUCGAGUGCGGGAGAGGAGAGUGGAAUUCCUGGUGUAGCGGUGAAAUGCGUAGAUAUCAGGAGGAACACCAAUGGCGAAGGCAGCUCGCUGGGACGGUACUGACGCUGAGGCGCGAAAGCGUGGGGAGCAAACAGG